UACAGAGGUCCCCAGCGUUGUCCGGAUUUAUUGGGCGUAAAGCGCGUGUAGGCGGCCAUACAGGUCCGUUGUGAAAACUCGAGGCUUAACCUCGAGACGUCGAUGGAAACCGUAUGGCUAGAGUCCGGAAGAGGAGAGUGGAAUUCCUGGUGUAGCGGUGAAAUGCGCAGAUAUCAGGAAGAACACCAAUGGCGAAGGCAGCUCUCUGGGACGGUACUGACGCUGAGACGCGAAAGCGUGGGGAGCGAACAGG
rnacentral:rRNA from 1 species